ACUUAAAUUGAAGAGUUUGAUCAUGGCUCAGAUUGAACGCUGGCGGCAGGCCUAACACAUGCAAGUCGAGCGGCA
rnacentral:rRNA from 3 species